GAAAUGCGAUAAGUAAUGUGAAUUGCAGAAUUCAGUGAAUCAUCGAAUCUUUGAACGCACAUUGCGCCCGCCAGUACUCUGGCGGGCAUGCCUGUUCGAGCGUCAUUUCAACCCUCAAGCCCCCGGCUUGUGUUGGGGACCUGCGGCUGCCCGCAGGCCCUGAAAAACAGUGGCGGGCUCGCUGUCACACCGAGCGUAGUAGCAUACAUUCUCGCUCAGGGCGUGCUGCGGGUUCCGGCCGUUAAACGACCUUCAUAACCCAAGGUUGACCUCGGAUCAGGUAGGAAGACCCGCUGAACUUAAGC
rnacentral:misc_RNA from 1 species